GACGAACGCUGGCGGCGUGCCUAAUACAUGCAAGUAGAACGCACAGUUUAUACCGUAGCUUGCUACACCAUACACUGUGAGUUGCGAACGGGUGAGUAACGCGUAGGUAACCUGCCUGGUAGCGGGGGAUAACUAUUGGAAACGAUAGCUAAUACCGCAUAAUAUUGAUUAUUGCAUGAUAAUUGAUUGAAAUAUGCUAUUGCAUCACUACCAGAUGGACCUGCGUUGUAUUAGCUAGUAGGUGAGGUAACGGCUCACCUAGGCGACGAUACAUAGCCGACCUGAGAGGGUGAUCGGCCACACUGGGACUGAGACACGGCCCAGACUCCUACGGGAGGCAGCAGUAGGGAAUCUUCGGCAAUGGACGAAAGUCUGACCGAGCAACGCCGCGUGAGUGAAGAAGGUUUUCGGAUCGUAAAGCUCUGUUGUAAGAGAAGAACGGGUGUGAGAGUGGAAAGUUCACACUGUGACGGUAUCUUACCAGAAAGGGACGGCUAACUACGUG
rnacentral:rRNA from 1 species